UCAAAAAACGGUACUCAUUCGGAUUGAAGGCUGAAAUUCGCCUUCAUGAAGCUGGAAUUGCUAGUAAUGGCAGGUCAGCAUACUGCCGUGAAUACGUUCCCGGGCCUUGUACACACCGCCCGUCACACCAUGAGAGUUGGCAAUACCCAACGUACGUGAUCUAACCCGCAAGGGAGGAAGCGUCCUAAGGUAGGGUCAGCGAUUGGGGUGAAGUCGUAACAAGGUAAC
rnacentral:rRNA from 1 species